UACAGAGGGUGCAAGCGUUGUUCGGAAUUACUGGGCGUAAAGCGCGUGUAGGCGGUCUCGCAAGUCGGUCGUGAAAGCCCUUGGCUUAACCAAGGAACUGCGAUCGAAACUACGAGACUAGAGUAUCGGAGGGGAUGGUGGAAUUCCCGGUGUAGAGGUGAAAUUCGUAGAUAUCGGGAGGAACACCUGUGGCGAAGGCGACCAUCUGGAAGAUUACUGACGCUGAGACGCGAAAGCGUGGGGAGCAAACAGG
rnacentral:rRNA from 1 species